rnacentral:misc_RNA from 1 species
UUUCCGUAGGUGAACCUGCGGAAGGAUCAUUACUGAGUGAGGGCCCCUCGGGGUCCAACCUCCCACCCGUGUUUAACGAACCUUGUUGCUUCGGCGGGCCCGCCUCACGGCCGCCGGGGGGCAUCUGCCCCCGGGCCCGCGCCCGCCGAAGCCACCUGUGAACGCUGUCUGAAGUAUGCAGUCUGAGACAAUUAUUAAAUUAAUUAAAACUUUCAACAACGGAUCUCUUGGUUCCG